CCUGCAAGUCUGACCAGCUGAUAAUCGAAUUGUUCCCCAAAUCAAGGUUUCGGAUCUUUAUGUUAUGAGCCAUAGCAGCUGGGAGAGUCUGGGUAGAUUAGAGAGAGAUUAAUUUUAAGGGCUCAAUAUUAAAAUGAAGGCACUGAAAACAGAUGCAUUGUGGAUAAACACAGUACUUAUUGGCAGUUGGACAUCUGGACUUGAGCUGUGACCAGAAACACUUUGGCCUUGUGGUCCAGUUUAAACAAAAUUGCAACAACUAAUCUAUCCACAGCAUGACAAAAGCCAAA